rnacentral:misc_RNA from 1 species
AACUUCUCAACCACAUCAGAUAUCAUGAUGUCGGCUUGGAUGUGGGGGUUUGUUUUUUUGCAGGCUUUCCGUAAAAAAGAAGGUCGGCUCCCCUGAAAUGUAUUAGUGGUAUCUGAGGCUACUAGGUGUGAUAAUUAUCUAUGCCUUUGGUAUGCUGCAUGAAACAGAUUACACUGCUUCGAACCAAAAAAAUUAUGA